rnacentral:rRNA from 1 species
AACGAACGUUAGCGGUGUGGAUUAGGCAUGCAAGUCGUGCGCGAAAGCCUUCGGGCGAGUAAAGCGGCGAAAGGGUGAGUAACACGUAACCAAUCUACCCUGAAGACCGGAAUAACCAUCGGAAACGAUGGAUAAUGCCGGAUGGUCCGUUACCAAGGCAUCUUGGAAACGGUAAACGGCGGCCCUGCCGCUGCUUCGGGAGGAGGUUGCGGACUAUUAGCUUGUUGGUGGGGUAAUGGCCUACCAAGGCGAUGAUGGUUAGCGGGUCUGAGAGGAUGGUCCGUCACACUGGGACUGAGACACGGUCCAG